UUAAGUUCAGCGGGUAGUCCUACCUGAUUUGAGGUCAAGUUAUCAGACAAAUGUCAAUUAGAGAGCAGAGAGAGAUCACAGUGCAUCACCUGAAGCCUGCUUUCCUGGCGUAGAUAAGUUAAUUCAUCUAUCACACCAAUGGAAAGGCAGAAGUGACUUGGCACCUCCCCCCAAAGCUAAUGUAUUUCAGGAGAGCUGGC
rnacentral:misc_RNA from 1 species